GAUGAAGAACGCAGCGAAAUGCGAUAAGUAAUGUGAAUUGCAGAAUUCAGUGAAUCAUCGAAUCUUUGAACGCACAUUGCGCCCCUCGGUAUUCCGAGGGGCAUGCCUGUUCGAGCGUCAUUAUAACCCUUCAAGCUCAGCUUGGUGUUGGGGCCUGCUGUAACUGGUAGCCCUUAAAAUCAGUGGCAGUGCUAUUAGGCUCUAAGCGUAGUAAUUCUUCUCGCUAUAGUGUGUAGUGAGCGCUUGCCAGAACACCAAACUUUUAUAUGAUUGACCUCGGAUCAGGUAGGGAUACCCGCUGAACUUAAGCAUAUCAAUAAGCGGAGGA
rnacentral:misc_RNA from 1 species